AUUGAACGCUGGCGGCAGGCUUAACACAUGCAAGUCGAGCGGAGAUGAGGUGCUUGCACCUUAUCUUAGCGGCGGACGGGUGAGUAAUGCUUAGGAAUCUGCCUAUUAGUGGGGGACAACAUUCCGAAAGGGAUGCUAAUACCGCAUACGUCCUACGGGAGAAAGCAGGGGAUCUUCGGACCUUGCGCUAAUAGAUGAGCCUAAGUCGGAUUAGCUAGUUGGUGGGGGUAAAGGCCUACCAAGGCGACGAUCCGUAGCGGGUCUGAGAGGAUGAUCCGCCAGAAUGGGACUGAGACACGGCCCAGACUCCUACGGGAGGCAGCAGUGGGGAAUAUUGGACAAUGGGGGGAACCCUGAUCCAGCCAUGCCGCGUGUGUGAAGAAGGCCUUAUGGUUGUAAAGCACUUUAAGCGAGGAGGAGGCUACUGAGACUAAUACUCUUGGAUAGUGGACGUUACUCGCAGAAUAAGCACCGGCUAACUCUGUGCCAGCCGCCGCCGUAAGAC
rnacentral:rRNA from 1 species